rnacentral:rRNA from 1 species
AACAAACGCUGGCGGCGUGCCUAAUACAUGCAAGUCGAACGGGGAAAGCUUUCGGGUGAGUACUAGUGGCGCACGGGUGAGGAACGCGUGGAUAAUCUGCCUUAGAGUGGGGGAUAACUAGUCGAAAGAUUAGCUAAUACCGCAUAAGACCACGAGAGCUGCGGCUUUUGAGGUCAAAGGUUUUUCGCUCUAAGAUGAGUCCGCGUAAGAUUAGCUAGUUGGUGAGGUAACGGCUCACCAAGGCGACGAUCUUUAACUGGUCUGAGAGGAUGAUCAGUCACACUGGAACUGAGACACGGUCCAGACUCCUACGGGAGGCAGCAGGAGGGAAUAUUGCACAAUGGAGGAAACUCUGAUGCAGCGACGCCGCGUGAGUGAUGAAGGCCUUCGGGUCGUAAAGCUCUGUCGCAGGGGAAUAACACAAUGAAGGUACCCGGUAAGAAAGGAUCGGCUAACUUCGUG